CAUCUUGUUGCUUCCUCAUAGCCCUCGUCCUUCCCCAUUUUUCCCCCAUCAAUAUAAUGGGGGAUCAUUGCACUGUGGCCAGAGGAGCAGACGAGCCUAGAGAUGAAAGUAGAGAAAGAUGGUGGGCAGGGGCGGAGAGAGGAAAGGCCAGACAAAUGCAAUCGUUCUUCCAAAGGAUUGGAGAAGAGAUUGAUUUGAAGUAUUCCUGCCAUGUUGAUGGAGCAGCUCAGUCUUUUGCCACUGAAGGCUUAGCCUUUUGUUUUUCACUUGUAGACAGAUUUGAAUAUAUACUUAGGACAUGUAAUAACUAUGGAACUUCACCACAAACACAGCACUGAGGACAGACAUGUUGUGUCUUACACGGUGGUGCCAUAGUUGAUUCAAUUAUACACUCAUAGGAAACACUUUUGGAGGGAAAUAAAUUGGAGUGUCUUCCAGUUGUAUUGAUGUUCCCAGAAUCUUGUAUAACCCCUGCGGUCUCUCGACGACUCCUCCGGAUUAACGGAGUCCACUAGGUGGCGCCCAGAUCUACUGCUGCGUCUUGCCCGCGCCGCGCGCGGAGCUGGGAACAGCUGUGGAUUUUCCAAGAAUGGCUGGAGAGAUCCAUAUGAUCCAUGUGCAGCAGCUUCCUUCAGGUCUGCUCCAAAAUGCUGUAAACUUGGUGCUCCUUCAAACUGUUACUGUAAUGGAAUCGCCAAAUAUGGGCAACGAUGGUGUGUGGUUUUGAGCACUAGAAAGCCUGCAAUUUUGCUCUAGGAGAUUUAGCCACAGGCAGGCAGAGCAACAGACGGGCAUUUAGCGGCAGCUCACAGCCUAUUUAGGGGCAAAUAGCAUGCUGACGACUUGGAAGCUACAUAGAAGCUACUUCUCAAUGCCAGAAUAAUUGAUUUAGGCAGUGACAGUGCUGUUUAUGGGAAAGGGAAAAAGAAACGAGAAGAAGGUAUCAAAAAGGGAGAGAUUAUUUUCAUAUUAGCUUUCAGGCAAGGCAUAAUCCUCUCUUGUUUCUGUCAGUUGAACGCUCCGCUUGAUAUUAAAAAUCGAGGAUAUAUUCUGAUGUAGAUUUCAGGGAGUAGGAAAUGAGGUAUUUUGUUUUUCUUUUGGGUAGCACUGGGCAAUUUCCCUUAUUUCACGUACGAAACGCUGAAGGCUUUGUAAAAUUACUUUAUACUUUAUUAAUACUCUUCUUAAAAGGGACAGAUCUCUUCUUUCCAAUUCAAAGUAGUGGAUAAUGACUUUGGCAGCAUUUCUCUGCCUUUUUCAAGUUUAUGGAAGCCCAUUUUUCAUCAUUAGGCUGAAGAUGCAGAUAAGAAAGGAUGAGACUUAUUCUGGAGCUUGUCACAUCCGUGUUGCUUCUCAGGUGAUUAAAAAGAAGCAGCGGAUCUUCGAGAAAACAUCUGACAAAAGGUAAUGGAAACCCAGUAACAUGAAAAUCCGUGAGAGAUUAGGCAAAACCGGCCCGGAAAACCCUCUCUACGAAGUACAUGUGUGCAUUUCAGCUCAAGAGCAAAAAUAAGACUCUGUUCUUCUGAGGCUCUUAAAAAACCUGACCUGCUCUGGCCCCACAAACGAAGGUUUAUUUGAGGCCCCUUGAAGGUGAUUAGAGCCAGGAGGAGGCAUUUUUCUGCAGUUUAGUUUAGGAGCUCAGCACCAGCCAAAUGCUUAAGGCGGCUGCUAGUUGGCAGAUUCAAAGGUACGGAGCUUCCUUAAUUAAAAAUCGGCAGGCUCAUUUAAUUUUGAUCGAAAUAGAUUGUGUUAUUUUUACACUUCCUGUGGAAUAAGAGUAUUCUUAUUUCCUUUUCUCCUACUUGCCCAGCACUCUUACUCGCAUUCCCAUCCUCUGCUCUCAUAAUAAUGGGAGGGCUCAAUAUGAAGAAGUUCUUAAAACCUCCCCAGGGUUAUAAUUUUGGUUUAGGGAUAUACAUUCCUUCAACAUAAGCAUUUUUAGAAAAAACAUAAUUUGGGGUGUAUGGACAUUAUGUAAGAGUCACAGAGCCAUUUCUUAAACAUGUUUUUGCUAACAAUUUUGAUAGGCCAGAAGUAGACAAGUGGGCAUUACAUUCAAUUCUGGAAAGUAUUUUGCCUGGUGUUCAGUUGGUUUGUUUAUUGUUUUGAAGGAGGGAAAUUGAUAUGCGAUUUAAUCCAGAAGUAAAGUACUUUUGCUAAAAUAAAACUUUAUUUUUAUUUGUUAAAAUAUGGUAUUUCAGUGUGCAACUAAGAAAAAAUGAUUUCUGAUACGUUGCUAGCGAAAAACCUGGAAGUGACAAAAAGGAUGGCUGAAAACCAGAUGAUGGUUAACCAAAUAAAUCUCUAGAAGUAAUAUACUUUUCACCUCUGGGUGCCACUGUUCAACUGCUUCUUGUUUUUUAUGACUGAAAGCUGGAUGCUUCCUGUGGAUGUAUUCUUAAAAGAAUCUGUUAAAGAGACAUUUCCUCUAUCUCUAGUUAUCUGCUAAAUAACUUUUUGGCACAUGGAUGUAAAUUCAGCGUGGUUGUGAUUUGCCAUUUUAAUUACCAAAUGAUGACGAAAUAACACUGAAGAUUGUUUAUAUGGGCAAUUGGCCAGGUUAGAAGCUUGCUUUCAUCUCCCGUGGAAAUGAAUCUUGUACUUACCUUUUUGGAAGGCAUUUAACCAGAAAAAGAGAUUAAAACACAAGGGAGUUUUAAUUUAAAUUCGUGGCCAUUCAUAGACAUGAUUUUAAUUCUGCACAAAUAUUUCAACAGAAAUCAAUUUUGUAAAAGGGAAAUGAGUAGACUUUGGGGGAAUUAAUCAAUUAAAAUAGAAUUUUAAGAAUCUAAUAUUGUUAGCUGAGAUAUUGUUUUUCACAUAAUUUUAAAGCUUAGCUGCUUUAGUAUUUCCAUUAAAAAAACCCUACAGAUAUCUUUCUAUAUAUUUUCAGGAUUCUUAAUUCUUAGAUGUGAUUUUUUAAUAAAUAAAAAUAACCAUAUUUGUGAUUUUGCAAAAUGUAGGAGUAUCCUUUUCUUUUUACAAACUAGGCAGUGAGUUGGUAUUCUCUACCAAGAAAGAAAUACACAUUUGGGUGGUUUUUAAAUCUCCAAUUAUUUAUUUUAAACUUGAGGUUCGUCUGAAAUGCCAGAAGAAGGGGUUAUAAUGCCGAGGUUAAUUUUGUUUUGUCAUAUACAAAGUAGUUAAUCUAAAAAUUAUUGAUUGAUAUUCUCCCUCUUUUAUCUCUUUUAGGACUCAAUAUUUAAAGCAAAACUAAUUUAUGUAGGCGUUCUCUGGUACAAAAUUAAUUCUACUGGGACCGUUCCAGGCCAAGCCUCGUUACGGAACAGUUCCUCUCGCUGAAGUAGCCUAAGCCUGAUUCUUACUGGGACACUUUUUCGAAAUUAUUCAUAACACAGAACUUAACCCUUGGGAUGCUAUAGAAUUGACCUCCAAUAGUACACUUAUUAGGCCAUUUGACGGCAUCAGGAAUACGUUAGAAUGAGGGUAUGUCUUAUGCUUGCGGGUGCUGCCUGGGACUUUUCAAUUAGGCAACUGUAUUUGUGCAUGUUGAAGGGGUUUUAAUUUUGUGAUUCAUACACCAGAGUUGAAGUAUUCAUUAAAACAAUUUUUCCCCUGCUCUAGCCUAUGUGACCAUAUGCAUAUUGCUGACCCUGUCUUUUUUCAUUUAUACCUAAGUGGUAAAUUUACCUCCUUGCCUGGGUGGGCAAAGAGUUAUUUAGAUCACUGAGCACGUCUGACUUUGUUUGCUCAAAUGUCUGACUGAAUCAAUUGGUUAUCUUGGUGUUUUUAUACAUACCCAGAGUCUGAGUGCAACUGUUAAACAGUUAUUUGUUGGAGCUAUAAAAGUAGUUCAGUAUCAUCUAUAUUUUCCUUUUGCGUGUGCGUGUGUGUGUGUGUGUGGUUUUCCUUUAAUAUCUGUGCAAAAUAUUAUUGGGGAGUGGAUUUUUUAAAUAUCAAUUUUUGUGUUGACUCUUUUGCCUGUUAUGUAGCAGUUUGUGAGGAUUUUCCACUGGAGAAUCUCUUGCGUUCGAAGGUUCUCUGCUCAUUGUGGGCAUCUCACCACAUUUUUUUUUUAUUAAAGUAGUUUUCCUCAUUGAAAGUGCCUCAUUUUCUAUUAGAAUGUUACUAAUUUGGCACAAUAUAUAUAUCUUUUUUGUGGCUGGUGAGAAAUAUUUAUUUGGUGGUAGUGAGAAGGCACGGUCCAAUCUACCAAUGAGAGCUUCCACAGAGAAUCAUACGGUGGUAAACUGGAGUGUGGUUAGGUGUCUUUAUGAUGGAAAAGCUAUAAUUUAGUCUUCACUUGGUUGCUUGAUCUAUAUGCUAAUAAACCAACACCUCCCGCCCCCCACCAAGAACUGACAGAUUUCCAUUAAAUUAGUAAAUUGACUUGUUGCCUCAGUCUCGCAGAGAUGUACCAACAGAAGGUGGUGUAGUUACAUUGUGAGACCUAGUUCAUCAAUUUGAACUCAUUUCAUCUGAAAUGCAAUAACAACUGCUAAGUUUUCCUAAUGUAAAAAUAGCCCAAAUCAAUUAUUCCAGGCUAUUGCUAAACCACACGAGAUAACAGGAUUAAUAAAUAAACAUUUAGAUAAUUCAGUGGUGCUUGAUAAGGAAAUUCCAUUGGUGUACAUAAAAUUAAAUUGUAAAAAUCACGUAUAUGGAUCCUAUUGUUUAAAAUAAAAUAGGUUAGGAAAAAAAGCUUUGUAAAAAGAUAGAUUGGCCAGCGAAUUUAAUUUCUCUGUGGAACAAUAGUUUUAAUAGAACCUGUUGCCUUGUGAAACUGAAUUCUCAAUCUCUAAUGUGCUUCUGUUAAAAAUUCAUUAUAAAAGGUAUUUAAACUGCAUAGAUUCACCCCCGCCCCCCGCCCCAUAUUCUCGUUAGCCUAAAUUACUAAGACAGAAUAAAGCUCUACACUUUUUGGACAUUUAAUAAACGUUAAUUUUUUAUUAAUUAACAAUUUUAUUAACAAUACAAAAAUAGUCUCCAAAUAGAUGCAGAUCUAUUUUAAUUGAAAUCCUUUCACAAUAAAUAACAGAGUCCAGGAAACUUAGGGAAGGUUUAUGGUGCUCCACAAGAAAGUGUGUUUAGAGUUUGGAAGGGAACAUUUUACGAUUUUUUUCCCUGCAUCUUCCCCCUGCAGAUAUCAGUACUCCCAAUCAACAGUGAAGGAAAAACUGGAAAAAAAAAAGGAAAGGAUGCCCCCUCCUCAGUUUUCAAUUUAUUUUUUAUUUCA